GUCAACAUCACUAUAGUUGAUAGAAAAUUCUCAACAUCUGUAUAUAGAAAAGAGACUUAUACACCAGACUUUAUUCCCAAAUGGUCAUGUGAUCCUUUUAAGUAUAAAAUAGCCAUGUUCCAUUAUCUGUUACAAAGAAUGUACAUGCAUUGCUCUGAUGACUUAACUAAGCAAGCUGAAUAUAAUAUUAUAGUAGAUCAGGCAAUAUUGCAUGGGUAUGAUGAGCAUUCCUAAACAAUAUUGACAAAUCCAUCAGUAAAUAUGUGUAAACGAUCUUUACCACCCUGCGAUCUCACAACAAUAAUUUAAGACACACUUACACCCAUUUCAAUAUCAUAAAGCCAUUGAACCCCUAGACAAGGCAUUAUUAAAAGAUAAUAAAAUUUUACCAUAUAGUUAACUGCAUGCUAUGCUCCACACAUUAAAGAAUAUUAAGCACCAAUACUGCCAGUCCAGCAUGCUGGUAUAUAUAUCCCCAUUCAUAACAAUGAUUUCAAUAAGCCAGAAAUAUACAUGGGUAGUACUAUAAAGUCUUUAGACACUCAUUUAAAGGGUCACCAAAGCAGCAUAAAACAACAUGACCUUCAAUGCAGCAUUCGUCAAGCACUUUAACUGCUGUGAUGUCAUCAUCGACUGGAAUCAAGCAUGCAUUAUCAGAUUGAUAAGCAAAGCAACAGAAGAUAUCAGAAUGGUUGAAGCCAUUGUUAUUGAGGAAUAUAAUAAGAAGAUCCACAUCAUAAAUGAUAAUCAUCCCAUUAAUAUACUACCUCAAUGUCUUAUAUAAUCUCUAUACUUAACCAAUCCCCAUAUAUCUUUUGCUUAUUUUAUUUUAUUUAGGUGCAACAAAAUAAAAUAUGAUGCAUCCUUGUAACUAGAUUACUAAUGCUUUUUAACAUGUACAUAGUCUUAAUGAUUCUGUUUGUUCUUUUGUUCUAAAUAUUUGGGUUUAAAUACCAUUCUGCACUGC
rnacentral:lncRNA from 1 species